rnacentral:tRNA from 1 species
GGGCGUUUAGCGCAGUGGUAGCGCGUAUGCUUUGCACGCAGAUAUUCUGUCAUGUGACUGUAUAAGGUCCAGGGUUCAAUCCCCUGAAUGUCCA